rnacentral:rRNA from 1 species
GGCGGCGUGGAUUAGGCAUGCAAGUCGAGCGAGAAACUUUAAAAAGAUACUUCGGUUGAUUUUUAGAGCGGACAGCGGCGAAAGGGAGAGUAACGAGUAGAUUACGUACCCGAGGGCCCGGGAUAGCUGCGGGAAGCUGCAGGUAAUACCGGAUAAUGUUUCCGAACCAAAGAUUUAUUGCCCUCGGAGCGGUCUGCUUACUAUUAGCUUGUUGGUGGGGUAAAGGCCCACCAAGGCAAAGAUGGUUAGCGGGUGUGAGAGCAUGGCCCGUCUCACUGGGACUGAGACACUGCCCAGACGUCUACGGACGGCUGCAGUCGAGAAUCUUCCGCAAUGGGCGAAAGCCUGACGGAGCGACGCCGCGUGCGGGAUGAAGGCCUUCGGGUUGUAAACCGCUGUCAGAGGGGAGCAAAUUUUGAGCGAUCCUCAGAGGAAGCACAGGCUAAGUUCGUGCCAGCAGCCGCGGUAAUACGAACUGUGCGAACGUUAUUCGGAAUCACUGGGCUUAAAGGGUGCGUAGGCGGCUUUGUAGGUCAGAUGUGAAAGCCCACGGCUCAACCGUGGAAUUGCGUUUGAAACCAUAAAGCUUGAGGGAGAUAGAGGAGAGCGGAACUGAUGGUGGAGCGGUGAAAUGCGUUGAUAUCAUCAGGAACACCGGUGGCGAAAGCGGCUCUCUGGAUCUCUUCUGACGCUCAGGCACGAAAGCUAGGGGAGCGAACGGGAUUAGAUACCCCGGUAGUCCUAGCUGUAAACGAUCUGUACUAGUCCGUGGGGACUUCCACAUCUUCUCGGACGUAGCGAAAGUGUUAAGUACAGCGCCUGGGGAGUAUGGUCGCAAGGCAA